UUUGGAUUUCAAAUUUAAUUUUACAUUUUAAUUUAAUAAUUUAUUUUACUUUUAUACAAUGCUAAUUUAGCACGUCUCUGUCAAAAUCAACCCAUGAAGACAUCGAAGUAUGGAGUGGGGAGGCAACUGGAGACUUUUCAGUAAGGAGUGCCUAUAAACUAUUACAGAAAUCUACAAUAGAUCCUAAUGUUUAUUUACAGACCAAUACUAAAAAUUUCUACAGGAAAUUGUGGAAUCUACACAUGCCCUCAAAAAUCAAAAUUACAGUGUGGAAAAUAGCGUGGAAUUACAUUCCCACUUUUUCCAAUCUAAAGCUAAGGAGAGUGAUGACUGAGAACCGAUGUCGGAGGUGUGGUCAGGGAGAAGAAGACAGCACUCAUGUCUUCCAAAUGUGCCCUAUAGUGAAAGAAAUAUGGAGUCACUUAAAUUUUUCUUGGAUACUUAACAAUAGUCAGUUAGAUUUGUGGAGUUGGCUUACCUGGGUAUUCAGCCAAGGGACAAAUGAACAGUGCAGGGGGUUUUGUUGCGGGCUCUGGUUAAUCUGGACAAGCAGAAAUAAGCUAUUAUACGAAGGCAAAUCAAGCACCAGUUGGGAAAUAUCCAAACAAAUUAAAAGUUACAUUCUGGAACUAGAAGGUAUUAAAGACAAGGCACUUAACUCGGAAACCAAUGUGAGGCCUAGACAAAGGCUACAAAGGGCAAACCCGGCCAUCUUUUUCGAUGCGGCUUUUGACUCACAGAAAUUCAGAUCUGCGUCAGGCCUAGUAGUUAAAAAUGAGGAGGGUAGAAUCGUUGCAGCAAAAUCGAUCCUUCAUGACAAUGUUGCAUCUCCGUUUGCGGCGGAAGCAUAUGCAGGAUAUCAAGCAACAAGGUUAGGAAUUCAGAUGGGCUAUCAUAUUUUAGACAUAAUAGGAGAUUCAAAAACAGUGAUAAAAAAAUGCAAAAAUACAAAUCGAGACAAAUCAGAAAUAGGAGCAAUCAUCAGUGACAUUCAAAGCCUAAAGGAUUACUUUCAAGAAGUCAGAUUCCAGUUCAUCCCAAGAGUUGAAAACACAGAAGCCCACCGAUUAGCAAAAGAAACUCUCAAGAAGGAAGAAGAACAGUACCUGGAGGGAGGGACCUUAAGCCUUCCUAGAGGAGAAUCGGAGCCAAACCGCCUGGGUUCUUCAGAAUAAAAGAAAAGGGGAAAAGACUUUGGUUUUCGGCAUUGUGGUGAGACGUUUGGAAGAAAGGAUGCCGUUUGAAAAGCAAAUAAAAAAGCAAAAGAUUUGAAGGGAUUUGCUUUUAAAUCAUUUAUGAAGACUAGCUGGACCGUUCGG
rnacentral:lncRNA from 1 species